UACGUAGGGGGCAAGCGUUGUCCGGAAUUAUUGGGCGUAAAGAGCGUGUAGGCGGCCAUACAGGUCCGUUGUGAAAACUGGAGGCUUAACCUCCAGACGUCGAUGGAAACCGUAUGGCUAGAGUCCGGAAGGGGAGAGUGGAAUUCCUGGUGUAGCGGUGAAAUGCGCAGAUAUCAGGAAGAACACCCGUGGCGAAGGCGGCUCUCUGGGACGGUACUGACGCUGAGACGCGAAAGCGUGGGGAGCGAACAGG
rnacentral:rRNA from 1 species